AGAUUGAACGCUGGUCGGCAUGCCUAACACAUGCAAGUCGAGCGGGCAGCGCGGGGGCGACCCUGGCGGCGAGCGGCGGAACGGGUGAGUAAGGCAUCGGAAUCUGCCCUGAUGUGGGGGAUAACGUAGGGAAACUUACGUUUAAUACCGCAUACGACCGAGAGGGUGAAAGCGGGGGACCGAAAGGCCUCGCGCAGCAGGAUGAGCCGAUGUCCGAUUAGCUAGUUGGUGGGUUAACGGCCUACCAAGGCGACGAUCGGUAGACUGGUUCUGAGAGGGACGACCAGCCACACUGGGACUGAGACACGGCCCAGACUCCUACGGGAGGCAGC
rnacentral:rRNA from 1 species